GAUGAACGCUGGCGGCGUGCCUAAUACAUGCAAGUCGAGCGAAUGGAUUAAGAGCUUGCUCUUAUGAAUUUAGCGGCGGACGGGUGAGUAACAUGUGCGUAACCUGCCCAUAAGACUGGGAUAACUCCGGGAAACCGGGUCUAAUAUCGUAUAACAUUGUGAACCGCAUGGUUCGAAAUUGCAAGGCGGCUUCCGCUUUCACUUAUGGAUGAACCCGAGGCGCAUUAGCUAGUUGGUGAGGUAACGGCUCACCCAGGCAACGAUGCGUAGCCGACCUGAGAGGGUGAUCGGCCACUCUGGGACUGAGACACGGCCCAGACUCCUACGGGAGGCAGCAGUAGGGAAUCUUCCGCAAUGGACGAAAGUCUGACGGAGCAACGCCGCGUGAGUGAUGAAGGCUUUCGGGUCGUAAAACUCUGUUGUUAGGGAAGAACAAGUGCUAGUUGAAUAAGCUGGCACCUUGACGGUACCUAACCAGAAAGCCACGGCUAACUACGUGCCAGCCGCCGCAGUAA
rnacentral:rRNA from 1 species